rnacentral:lncRNA from 1 species
GUCGCUAUUCCCAACCUUUUAGCUGUCCUGCCCCUAACCCCAACCUUCUGCCAGAAGCACCAUAGCCCAAAUUUACCCGGUCGGCCUACCAGCUCAGCUCCCCUUAGCUGCAGGCAGAAAACCAGAGCGUAGUGAACCUGCUUCAAGAAUCCUCUGCAUAAAUUAUGCUCUUGCGGAUUUUAA